CUACGUCUUGUUCCGGCGGCUGCACCAAUUAGGCCAUAUAUGUAUAUCCUGAGAUUAUAUCAAUGCUCAGAUGCAUGGAAGGAUGAUUAUCAUGUUGUCGGGAUAUUUGUGGCCAGUUUGCGAAUUGGUUGAGGAUGAUAUUUUGAUUGAGGAUGAUAACACUAAGCUAGUAAGAGGUGGUCUUAAUUAUUUGGCCAUGAUCGAGGAAAUGAAAUGAUCCAUGCUUUAGCCAGUUUAUGGAUUUGUUAGUCGUUGCUAUGUGUCACAGUGAUUGUUUGCUGAAUGCGUUAUAAUGUUGUAGCUUAUCAGAUGAUAUAACUAAUUAUGUCAGCUCUACUAACCUAUACAAUAAUCAAAUGCAACAAACCGUAUGUAUUUCCAAUAUCAGUUCUCAUAUUAUUAAUCCAAGUGUUCAUGUUUCAUACAAUCAAAUUUUCUUGAAUAUUGCAACCAAUUCAUGUACCAACGUGCAAGGUAUAAUCUAGUUUCUUGAAACGGUGCACCUACUUUCUGAUAAAAGAUUAAAUCAAGUGAGAUAUAUGGGAUACACAUAUUUUAAUGAUAGUACAUGGUCCAUCCUCUUACUCUGGUGGUUGGCUGCCGGUGCCUCUUCGCGCGUUGUAUUGUGUUGCUCCACACUUCGCCGCUCGAGGAAGCACAAUAUGUAGCAUAGGCGUCGAUCUGUCAUGGUCCCUACCUUUCUCUCCCUUCUCUCAUUCGUCUGGUCGGUGAUGCACCCCCCCCCCUCUCUCUCUUUGCUCACCACCAAUCAUGUAUCCUACAUAGCUAGAUUGACCCGGUGGAAUCAUGCAUGAGACAACCGUGGAUAAGAGCGAGAACCUCGUUCGCUUGAACCAGAGCAGACGAGGAGGAUUUGGGGAUCAGUUGGUUAUCUUUUUGUUGCUUGAUGAAAUCUGUUUUGUUGAACUUGCAGCAGCUUAUUCAAUAAAGUUGAAAUGGAAUUACGCCUACAAGUAGCAAAAGUCAUUUAUGAUCACACAACCCAAAUAAAUAGAUAAUAAACUUUGCCAUCACAUGCUUGAUGAGCUUCUUCUUUUGCUUGCUUAAGCCUUGCAAACUUGCAGUAAUAUGAUUGGAGACUUGAAGUGAGUGGCAAGAGAUAGCAAAUAAAUUAUAGAAUAAUGUCAAAUCUUGGCAUAGCUCAUGUGAGGUUUGUGAUUAACUGAAACACUUCAAGCAUGAAGCAUGUAUACCUCAAAAAAUUAGUACAAUGGCAAGGUAGAGACAUGUUGACACUUGAUGCAUGAUUCAUCAUAAUAUUGCAAUGAGUUCAGAACUCACGAGAUAAAACUACAUGUGAGUUCACAUCUUGCAUAAGUGAUAUUUGUAGCCUCCUCUUUGGAGUCGUCUUCUUUGCUAAAGCUGCAGUGGGUAUCCUCUCUAGACUAGUUCUAGUUUGUGAUGAAAUACUUCUCCGAGAAAGAAAGCAAGGAGGAUGCACAUAUACAUGCUAUCAAAUUUAUAUAAGUAUUUUGUUUCUCAUUUUUUUACAUUGUCGAACAUGUAACUAUUUGUUGUUUACCUUCUAGCGAAUACGCCCGGAUUGUCGUGUAGUAUUUGUUCUCUACCUAGCUUUUGCGGGUUGCUAGAUUCACCUAUCAUAGCUUUUGUAUUGCUCUUUAUAGGUUUUCUAUUCUUAAAAUUAAAGAAAACAAGCUUUAUUUUUUGGCAUGAGGUGAUAAUUUAAGCUUUGAACGAAAAAAAUGACAAUUGCCUUCUCUUGGUUCUAAGUGAGCACUUGUAACUAGCUUGCCUAUGACCCUUUGUGCCACAUUUCUUGCAAGUCACUAGGCCUCUAAUCAUUUUCUUCACCUUGCAUUUGUGGGAGUAGUGCUACCAUUCUUGGAACCUUUCUUCAUGUGGCCACCUUCAAGGCAAUCCUUUAAUCCUCAUUUUUCUUUAUCUUCUUUUAUUUCUAGUCUUAAGUAUUGUCACCACAACAAAUGGAAGCUCCAACCAUGACCACUAUGAUUUUUUCUAUCGCUGGCUCAAUCUAUCUCCCAUAAGAGCCUUGAAAUUAUCCACAAAGUAGUACUAAUGCACAAAACUGUUCAAGGCAUUUUUGUGAGCUAGUUCAGCAACAUGCAAGUCCUCAAAGUCUCUGCUCAAGUUGUAGAAAACUCUCGAUAUAUUAUUAGUGAUGUAGUCACACUUGAUUCCCGGAAUGAAGACAUACCUUAUCGAUUUGAGAGUGAUAUCGACUUAAUCAAAGUCAUACCUCAUUUGAUUCUCCAAUAGUUGUGUCCAUAAGUUACGUGAACACGUCUUUCAUAUAAGCCAUUGCGGCAGAAAACGUCCUUCUGAAACCCCGGGACCUCUUUGCAAAAUUAUUCAUAAGGUGAAAAAACAUUCCCCUUGUUCAACAUUAUAAAAUAUAUUCUUCAUUGCAUUCUAUAAGCCUUUGCAAGCAUUUUUAAGUUGAUCCAUAAACCAAGUUCGAUUGUGUUCAGUAUCAGAAGCUAUAAACAAUAGGCAAGUGGAUACAUCCAAUUGUGGCCAUCAAUUACCCUCAGCUACAAAAAUCCAACUCUACUUCCAAAGGCUUAGAGAAUGCGGUGGAGAAUGUAUUUCCCAAUGCUGAAUAAAGGGAAUGUUUUCCCAUGUUAUGGGGAAUUUUGUGAAAUGGUUCCGUGUGUUUGGAAGGGUGUAUCUUGUGGCAUGGGCUUAUAUGGGAGAGGUGUUCACAGAACAUAUGGAAGCAAUUAUUUGAUAAUAAAAUGGGGUAUGGCUUUUGUUAAGUUAGUGCAUACUCUCAAGUGGGCGAGGUGUGUCUUCAAUCCAGACAUUAAGUGUGAGCUCAUCUCUAGUAACAUAGGAGGGGUUUCCAACAACUGGUUCAGAGAUAUUACGAACUUAUUGCUGAACUAGCCGACACGAUUAGAGGGAUGAUCAUGGGUCUCUAGAGGACAAGGAGAAGGCUUGGAGGAAGACUGCCAUUUGGACCGAUCCUACUUAUGGGGAAGAGGGAAAAUACUAGAGGUUUGGGGAACUUGAAAGUUGUGAAAUCUGUUAACUAGAGUGUAGAGAUUUGAUAAAAUAUCAAAACUUAUUGAAAGGCAUAUUGUGAAGCUCAAUCAUAAGAUGUGUAGUUUUGCCUUGAAGGGCAGAACACAUACAAGCAAUGUCAACAUGUCUUGCCUUUGUGUCAUCAUAAAAGGGAGUAGAUCUUGAACAGUUUAUGCAUAUGUGUACUAUGUGGGCAGAUUCAAGGAUGUUAUAUGGGAGAGAGAUUGAGCCAAUGAUAGAGAAAUCACAAUGGCCACGAGUGGAUCUAUCAUUUGAUGUGGUGCCACCACUUCAAAAUAGAAAUAAAGAAGGACAAAAAAUGGAGGAUUCAAAGGAUGUGUUAAGGAGGUCACAAGGUGUCACUGAUGAUAGCACUGGUCCCACAAAUGCCAAGGGGAAGAAAAUGAUUAGAUGCCUAGUGAUUUGCAAGAAAUUUGGUUAAAAGUAUCAUAGGCAAGCUAGUUACAAGUGUCCACUUAAUUGAACCCAAAAAGACAAUUGGCAUUCUUUCAUUCAAAGCUUGAAUUAUCACCUCAUGACAAAAGUUUAUUGUUUAAUUCAAGAAAGAGGAAGCCUAAAAGGAACAAUACAUAAGGUAUGCAAGGUGAACCGAACACCCCACAAAGGCCAACUAGAGAACAAAUACUACGGGACAGUUAAGCCAUGCAUUAGAAGGCAAUCAACGAAUAGUUAUAUGUUUAGCAAUGUAAAAAACAAAACAAUUUUCUUAUAUAUAAAUGCCAUAACAUAUAUGUGCAAUUGCCUUGCUUUAUUGCUAACAGAGGGUAUUUAUUCACAAACCAGCAUAACUACUCCAGAGAGGAUACUAGUUGCAGCUCUAGCAAAGAAGAUGGCUACAAAGAGGAAGCUACCAAUUGGAUGACAAAUCUCCAUUAAAUUUACUAUUCAAGCUGUGCAUCCACAUGGGCUGCUCUUUUAAGCGUUAUCUUCAGUUGCCUAUAAAAAUGCAAAAGUACAUCACCUAUUGGUAUAUUUUUUACCAAUAUUACUUGGUAUCAAGGUUACGUGAAAUCCUUGAAAUCGAAUUGGGAUAUAUGAGACGGCCUCCACGCUCACGAUACAUAUUAUAAAUUAGAAAGUAGUAUCAAAGCCUAAGUAUACUAAAACGCCAUGAUCCACAAGAACCUUGGAUCGACAAUAUUUGUGAGACGACACUAAGAAACCAUAUGUGUUUCCGAAUGAUGAUAAGCAUCCUACUGAUUUUGCAACAUGCUAGACAAAAAACAAUUUGAAUUGAAGAAUUCCACCAUACCUCCUUGCUUUCUCCUUCCACAAACAUAAGACUUCCAAUGCAUCGGCAUGUACCUCUUGCAUGGAUAUAACACCUGUUGAUUUGUUAAAUCUGGAAAAGCUAUUGAACUUCAUUCUUGUGCACAAUUAAACGCCAUGUCUAACAAAUGUUGACUUCCACCUGCCAAAACAAUGGUUUAAACUAUAGUAAACAUACAAUCUGUCAUAUGUACCUCAGUACUCGAGUUUCUACAUGAAUGUAUAGCUUAUUGUGUUGAAAAUCUACAAAGAUAGACUAGUGUAAUCGGAAAUCCAACUCGGUGCCGAGGCUCAUCUGCUCCCGCUCAGAAAAAAAUCAAAACAAAUACUAGAGAAAUUCAAAAACAUCCAAAUUUUUUGUGUGUGGUAGAUAAUUUGAUUCGUGAGGUCGGCUUCAAAUUUCAACUCAUUUGGACAUCUGAGUAGCUCUCGGCAAAAAAGACCAAUUGCGUCAGAACAGUGCGUGAAUAGUAAACUUUUUUACAGACCUUGAAUUUGUCUUUUUUUUCCGAGAGCUUCUCAGAUGUCCAAAUGAGUUGAAAUUUGGAGCAGACCUCACGCAUCAAAUUAUCUAGCACACAAAAAAAUGGAUUUUUUUUGAAUUUUUCUAGUAUUUGUUUUGAUUUUUUUCUAAGAGUGGGUGCAGAUGAGCCGGGAGCAGAAACUCCGCGUCCGUGUUGCAUAGAGGCUCUUUAUCCGAACUACAUUUGCUAGCACCAAAAGAUAAGAAAUGGUCGUGAACUAAAUAAAUAUGAAAGUGGUUAAUUGAAAAUACCACACUACUAUGGCACCAAUUCUUUGAAACCGUGAUAUGCAUAUAAAAUGGCAUUUGGUGCAUCUUAGCUAAUAAUAGUACAUGUGUUGAGUCUGUAAAAAUAAUUAAGAAGUUUUGAAGAUGUAAUGUAAGGUUUGGUAACCGCAGCCCAUAUUUACAUUUAGAGGGAUAUGCAAAACUUGAAAAAGGAAAAUGGAAGACACUAUUAUAGAAGUACAGAGUGUCCAUUGCUAACCUCCAACUUUUGUCAUAUCCGAAUCAGAUCACCACUACAAUGACUUCAAAGCAUUUUCAAUUUGAAACCGUACACCAAAAUAUUUCAGCUAGUACAAUGGAGAAUUUCCAAUUCCUAGUAGAUAGAUGUUCAGGUUGUAGUAUUCUCCACACAAUCAUUUGAGAAUCUUCUUAUGCUCAUGCAGAGAUUGAUAACGCAUAAUGUGCAUAUUCUCAUCUCACACACAUAGAUCACCUUCUGUGCAGAGCUAAGUCUAUUAAUAUAUCAUCUCGUUCCAUCGCUGCCGCAUCGUAUAUGAGUUUGACAACAUGUCAGGUACUACAGAAGGAAUCUAAAAUGGACAUCAGCGAGAAGAAGUGUGGCAUAUGCAUUAUAUUGGUUUAUGAAAAUAGGUGAUAGAAGAGCCUAUUGUCAUUUUAGCACAGAAAAUACCUCUAGAAACCGAGUCAAUGUUUCUAUAUACUCUGUUUAGUGCAAAUUAACACGGGCUUACUUUUUGUACCAAAGUGGAAAAAAACGCAUGGCUCGGUUACUCGGAGUUUGCAUUCGUAGAAAAGGCAGAACAAAUAAUUUACCGUGGAGCAUAUACAUAAGUGACAACUCUUGCAGACCUUGCCUAUAAUAAAUUAGCAAAAAUACAAAACGAAAUUACUAAGGUGAACGUGGUUCCACAUGCACCUAUGUAAAUAGUAAAUAAAAAAUACUCGAAUUUUUAUUAAAAAAAUCUGAAAUUUUGAGGUAUCAAACUUGGUCGACCCGACCAUACUCAUGUGUGAAGUUCGGUGCAGGAGGGACACCCGGUGUAUUUCUUAGUGAAGAAAAUAUAAUCCAACCAUACUGUUCCUGUCAAACAGUGCUUUUGAAUAAAACUUCCAUCUGUCAUUUUGCCCAAAAUACCACGGAUGUCAUUUCUUCGUGAAACUUCAUACGCGAGUACACAAUCGACCAUGUAUAUUACAGAAAAAGUCUGAUUGUUUUUCUCUUUUUCUAGUUUUUUUGGAUUUACUAUUUAUAAGGGAUGCACGUGGAACCACGUUCCACAAAUCCGCGUCUAAUUACACAAACCUUAAAAAACAGUAGCUUCAAGGAAAUAAUUUGCUAAAAAACAAGUGUAAUUUUCAAGGAAAAUAGGAUUUUUAGGACACCAUUACAGAAGACCAAAACAAAAUUCAUGGUAAAGCACAUACUUUUAGGUCCAUUAGAGAAACAAAAUACCCGUACGUGUUCCUUUUCUUCCAAUAACGUUCGUGUUUUGCAGUGCAUCUAUCUAAAACCACUUUCUUGGCAAGCAAACAAUUCACCAAACACUUUAGAGUGCAUUGCCUAAUGCCUGUAGUCGAUAUCAGAAGUAAAUAAGGAGGUAGAGGAGGAACGAUUGGACCUGCAGCAUGCAGGCCAUGCGCAUCGUGUAUGUCUCGACAAGUUGCUGAACAUUACCUUUCUUGUGAUUCAUACCCAUCCUCCUCUGUUGCCUGCCUCAUCCACCAUGGCGCUGACUACGGCGGCUCCUUCCUUCUCCUCCCCGUCCUCCAAUCUAUCAUGGAAACACCGGAGCUGAUGGACACCGAGAGAAAGAAAGAAGAGGCGGGGGGCUGCGGCGACGCGGGUGACGGAGAGAGGCGCCGUGGAUGAGCUCGUGAGGUGACGGAUAAAUGCAGAGGGGACAGCUGACCGGGAUGAGGUCGUGGGAUGAUCUGGUGUCCGUGACCCGAGGGCCGAGAGUUGCGUCCAACCCUUGGCUUGGCACCAGAUCUAAUAUACAAAUCAACGGCUGGAGAAUAAUUCAAACGGUGAUCGGACGGGCCAGCUUUCGUGAUGGCAUGAGUUUAUCCCGAUUAAACGUGGGUCGAACCUCUUUAAGUUUGACGAGCUUUAUAGAAAAAAAUGUUGAUAUCUUACAACUGAAUUUUGGUCAGGCUCGCUAAGGACAUUUUCAAUGCCAACCCUCAAACCGCGCCCAAACAUCCGGUCCGCAUGGUUCAAUGUGAUGCGUCAUCCAACGCGGUUCUGCAUCGGUCCGCAAGGUGAUAUAGACAUACUUUUUCCCGUAAACCGAGGACAAAUGUGAGGGCUUUGCAGGUGUCUAGACAACAGCCGCGCCCGCUUCUGACCAUCCUGACCCACCCCAAACAUUCUCCCUCGCCCGCGCGAGUCCCAUCCGGCGCUAGCUACCUGCAUUUAUGUCAUCGUAGAACGGCCGCUCCACAUUGAAGUCGGCUCAGAGCAGACACGGACUCUCACUGCCUCCACCAUUGAAGCGACGCGCAAGCUGAGGGCGCCGCCUGCUGCACGUCCGGCUAAAUACGCCUCUUCGCUGCAUUCAAACGUCUCCACUAAACCCGCGCGUGUGCUCGGAAAACUACUCCGGCCAUAUGUCCGUUCACAAGCGGGUCGACGUUAACCAUAACUCCGGAGUAGCUCCUCCCGUGAACCCGCUAUUUAAAGGAGGCCAGACGUCGGGCAAGUAUUGCACCACUUCGUUGCUCCCAUCUUCAUCUUUCACCAAUAUAUCCAUCCUUCUGAUGGCAUCCGACGAGCAGGAAGACCAGUUCUCCAGCAUAAAAGCCAGCUGGGAGACCCACCAAGCUCGUUGGAUACGAGCAAGGCAACUCACUGCUCUACCUCCCUCCCUAGCCUGACGGAGCAAGCUGUCGCUCCAAGCCGGUGCGUGGUUAAGAACCUCGUCGCUCCAAGCCAACUCGCGGAAGAGUGGCGAGUAGCUCCAGGCAACACGCGGGGGAGCACGGCGAAACGGGCAUCAUGGAUACCAUGGAUGAGGCCAGACAUAUGGCCAUCCACCGUCAACGUUGUUGGAACGCAUUGGUCAAUGGAGAAAAACGUGGAGAUCGAUGAGUCGGUGGCCAGCGCGUCCACGCCGCCGCCACUGCCAUCAUUGAGGAGAAGUAGAACGCGGUAGGCCGCCGUCGCUUGGGUCCCAGGAAGGCCACUGCCGGCGCGUCGUCGGCGUGAACAUGACUUGCCCAGUUCAGCGCAGACCAUCAUCGAUCCUCGCCUCGGCUUCACAGAAGCGGAGUAGGCACCCAUCUCCUCCGGACAUAGGGAAGAUACAGGGGAAGAAUAUACCUCCGGGGCUCCCAACAGUCCGAUGAGCGGGUUGCCGGAUAUGGAAAAGACAAAGGGAUCCGUUGUGGCUGGCCGUAGACUAGUGUAGUGUAUCCAUGUCGCUGGAGUGGAGCUCCGCGUACACAUAAUUUUGCCUUUUUAGUUAAAAUGUCCAAAAUGUGAAUGUUUUCAUCCAGUUUGUAUGAAAUCAAUCGUGUUUGCACGAAUUUUAUCUGGUUGGAUCAAAAAGUUAUUGAAAUGUAUGCGAGCAGCGUUCGAUGGCCUCCUCCCGCAUCCGUGUGCGCGCUCUAGUACCCCUGUCCGUGGACGAAUGCAGGAUGCAAUUUGCGGGUCGCUGUUGGAGAUGCCCUAAGCUUUUGAUGCUUUAUCCCUAAAAAACUUUUAACGCUUUAAAAGUUAUCAAAAAAUAUGAAAUAAAUAUAGGAGCAUCACUCUUAAAUUAUGUCUAUCAUAUCUUAUCACCAAACUUGUUGAUGCUAGCUAAGCUUUUAACAGAUCCUCUACUUCCUCCUGUAACCACCAAAAAAAAAAA
rnacentral:lncRNA from 1 species